ACUAAAUCAAGAGGGGAAAAUUAAGAGUUUAUAAAUCCAUUCUAUUAACCUUUAUGUACUUGUGCAUAGUAACUACCCAGUCUACUAUACUAUAUGUUAUAUUUAUUUUGUUAGUUUGUAAAAUCCAUACAAUUUUUUUAAUAAUGUAAUACAAUUAAUUCAAUAAAUUAAUUUAAUUACUAGUGAAGUACCUAGUUAUUUCUUUUAAACAUUUUUUUCACACAUUAUAUUUAGUGAGGUAUUUUAAGCAAAUACAAAAUAUUCAACUUUCAUAUAAUAACAACACAAAAUAUAUCAGAUUGAACAUUUUUAUUUGAAAAAUGAAAUUGAUAUUUUGUGUACCAUGGCUUUUUGUGUGGAUGACUUCACCUGCCAACAGUAUGAAAAAUAUUCUUAUUGGUUUAGGAGAACCAAAUUCACCACCAUCAUUAAGAA